rnacentral:rRNA from 1 species
GUCCUUUUGAUUAUAAUUUAAGGUCUAACCUGCCCACUGAAUGUUUAAAUGGCCGCAGUAUUUUGACUGUGCAAAGGUAGCAUAAUAAUUAGUUUUUUAAAUGAAAGCUGGAAUGAAUGGUUGGAUAAGAAAAUAACUGUCUCAAUUUAAUUUAAUUAGAAUUUUAUUUUUAAGUUAAAAAGCUUAAAUUUCAUUAAAAGACGAGAAGACCCUAUAGAGUUUAAUAUUUUAAUAUUAUUAUUUUAUUAGUAUAGAAAAUUUUAUAAUAUAAGAGUAUUUUGUUGGGGUGACAGGAAAAUUAAAUAAACUUUUCUUUUUAUUUUACAUUUAUAUAUGAAUAAAUGAUCCAUAAUAAUGAUUAUAAGAAAAAAUUACCUUAGGGAUAACAGCGUAAUUUUUUUUAAGAGUUCUAAUCGAAAAAAAAGAUUGCGACCUCGAUGUUGGAUUAAAGUAUAUUAUUGGUGUAGAAGCUAAAUAAUUAGGUCUGUUCGACCUUUAAAACUUUACA